rnacentral:rRNA from 1 species
UACGGAGGGAGCUAGCGUUAUUCGGAAUUACUGGGCGUAAAGCGCACGUAGGCGGCUUUGUAAGUAAGAGGUGAAAGCCCGGAGCUCAACUCCGGAACUGCCUUUUAGACUGCAUCGCUUGAAUCCAGGAGAGGUGAGUGGAAUUCCGAGUGUAGAGGUGAAAUUCGUAGAUAUUCGGAAGAACACCAGUGGCGAAGGCGGCUCACUGGCCCGUUUCUGACGCUCAGGCGGCGAACAGCGUGG